AGUGAACGCUGGCGGUAGGCCUAACACAUGCAAGUCGAACGGCAGCACAGUAAGAGCUUGCUCUUACGGGUGGCGAGUGGCGGACGGGUGAGGAAUACAUCGGAAUCUACUUUUUCGUGGGGGAUAACGUAGGGAAACUUACGCUAAUACCGCAUACGACCUACGGGUGAAAGCAGGGGAUCUUCGGACCUUGCGCGAUUGAAUGAGCCGAUGUGGGAUUAGCUAGUUGGCGGGGUAAAGGCCCACCAAGGCGACGAUCCGUAGCUGGUCUGAGAGGAUGAUCGGCCACACUGGAACUGAGACACGGUCCAGACUCCUACGGGAGGCAGCAGUGGGGAAUAUUGGACAAUGGGCGCAAGCCUGAUCCAGCCAUACCGCGUGGGUGAAGAAGGCCUUCGGGUUGUAAAGCCCUUUUGUUGGGAAAGAAAAGCAGCAGGUUAAUACCCCGCUGUUCUGACGGUACCCAAAGAAUAAGCACCGGCUAACUUCGUG
rnacentral:rRNA from 1 species